rnacentral:tRNA from 1 species
UCCCUGGUGGUCCAGUGGUUAGGACUCUGCACUUCCACUGCAGAGGGCACGGGUUUGGUCCCUGGACUGGGAA